AUUAAAUAAGAUAUCUAAGGUGUUCAUUUAAAUUAUGAAUUAAAAGGGAAAAGGGUGAGAAACCCUUGCAGCCCCCGCUACUGUGAGUAGUUAUGUCUAUAUAAAACCACUGGGAAACUGGGAAGGAGUAUAGAAUAUAAGCUAUAAGCCAGGAAACCUGCCUUAUAUAUUAACACUAU
rnacentral:ncRNA from 2 species